rnacentral:tRNA from 1 species
GCCUGGCUGGCUCGGUUGGUAGAGCACGGGACUCUUGAUCUCGGGGUCAUGAGUUCAAGCCCCAUGUGUAGUG